ensembl:lncRNA ITPR1-DT ITPR1 divergent transcript
AGACGCGUGCGGGGACAGGGGAGGGGCGUCCUGCGAGGCUUUCAGGCUGCUGAGCCUGUUCCUUGGCUGGGGUCGGUAGGGCUUGGAGCCAGCCGUUCAAAGUCACCCCUGGGAAGCGCCCGCAACCCUUGGGGACGCCUCUCCUCCGGCUGCCCCCCUUCCCUGGAAUCCAGGUGUCACUGGGGCCGGGGAGGGGCUAGGAGCUCGGAUUUCUGCUUUGGGAAGUUUUUACAAGCCCACCCUCCCCCUGCCUUGGUUCCCCGAGCCAAGAAUUUCAGAAAUCCGGGGCACAAAAACGCCAGUGUUUGCGGUCAAGGAUUAAAGGCGCGAGGUGUCUUUAUUUAAUCUGCUCCGCCCUGCUCGGGUUUGCACGAGAAACCAAGCCUGGGAGCGACGGUCCACGCAAGCGGAGACACAGCAUUAUCCCCUGGUCACUGGACGCUGGGGUCUAGUGCCUAAUACGUUAAGCUGCUUCUCCCCAUCAUCAAGAAACUGCCGCAUCUGCCAUAUAAAGGAGAUGUUUCUCAUUCGCCCCCACUCAUCUCUUCCCCCAUGAAAACCUCUUCCAUUUUCAAAGGAUCUUCGGCUCUACUUUUCAAGCAAAUUCAACAAAUCAGUGUAUGCCUGUGUAACUGGUAAAUAGUGAAGGGUAAUUAUUUCAUGUGCUUCUAACUCAGAAACAAUGGAAUAUUAACAGCGGUUUUCUGAAGAUCCAGUUGGACAAUUUUCAUUUUCAUCAUAUAAUGGACAUUUAUCUCCUACCUGCAUUAUCCACUGUCUUCCCUCGGAGACCACAAAUUUCACUGAAGGCAGCAUCUAUGUCUUAUUCAUGCUUGUGCUCUCUACCUCCCCUGACCCAGAAGGACUUAUUCUUCUUUCUGCACAUUUUAGUAGAUGUGUUAAAAAAAAAAAAAAAAAGUUUGUUAAGAAGAUGUUUUAAUGGAAGGUGUGUCAGGCAUAUGGCAGGAUACAUGACCAUAUUUUUGGAGCAUGCAACACCUCGUAGCCCAUCUCUAUCAUAGCCUAUUUUCUCCGCCUGUAUGUAUGGAUAAUCCUAUUCAACAUUUUUAAGGUCUAGAAGCUGCUAGGUCACUAGAAAGUAAUUUUGCUAUGAUGUGAAGAGGUUCUCUAUGAUGAUGUAUGACUGAUAAAUUAUGAUGAUUAAUGUCAGAAUAUAAGGGUCACUGCCUAACUCAUUCUCUGUUAUCAGUAGAGGGAAAGGAGCUGCUUUCUCUUCACUAUUUUUUUCUAGAAGAAUUUUCUAUCCCUGUGUUUUCCAGUAUAGUGACUACUAGCCAUUUAGGCACGUAAGAUGUGGCUAGUUCUGAGAUGUGAAAUAGAUGUUAACACAUUGAAUUUCAAAGACUUAGUACAAAAAAAAGCAAAAUAUCUUAAUUUGUAUAGUGAUUACAUGUUGAAGUGGUAAUAUUUUGGAUAUUUGUGUUAAAUAAAAUAGAUUAUUAGAAUUUAUUUUA